AGAGUUUGAUCAUGGCUCAGGAUGAACGCUGGCGGCGUGCUUAACACAUGCAAGUCGAACGAACCUUCGGGUUAGUGGCGGACGGGUGAGUAACGCGUGGGAACCUGCCCUCAGGAGGGGGAUAACGGCUGGAAACGGCCGCUAAUACCCCAUAUGCCGAGAGGUGAAAAGAAAUUCGCCUGAGGAUGGGCCCGCGUCUGAUUAGCUAGUUGGUGGGGUAAGAGCCUACCAAGGCAACGAUCAGUAGCUGGUCUGAGAGGAUGAUCAGCCACACUGGGACUGAGACACGGCCCAGACUCCUACGGGAGGCAGCAGUGGGGAAUUUUCCGCAAUGGGCGAAAGCCUGACGGAGCAACGCCGCGUGAGGGAUGAAGGCCUCUGGGUUGUAAACCUCUUUUCUCAAGGAAGAAGAACUGACGGUACUUGAGGAAUAAGCCACGGCUAAUUCCGUGCCAGCAGCCGCGGUAAUACGGGAGUGGCAAGCGUUAUCCGGAAUUAUUGGGCGUAAAGCGUCCGCAGGCGGCCUUGUAAGUCUGUCGUUAAAGCGUGGAGCUUAACUCCAUUUGAGCGAUGGAAACUACAAGGCUUGAGUGUGGUAGGGGCAGAGGGAAUUCCCGGUGUAGCGGUGAAAUGCGUAGAUAUCGGGAAGAACACCAGUGGCGAAGGCGCUCUGCUGGGCCAUAAACUGACGCUCAUGGACGAAAGCCAGGGGAGCGAAAGGGAUUAGAUACCCCUGUAGUCCUGGCCGUAAACGAUGAACACUAGGUGUCGGGGGAAUCGACCCCCUCGGUGUCGUAGCCAACGCGUUAAGUGUUCCGCCUGGGGAGUACGCACGCAAGUGUGAAACUCAAAGGAAUUGACGGGGGCCCGCACAAGCGGUGGAGUAUGUGGUUUAAUUCGAUGCAACGCGAAGAACCUUACCAGGGUUUGACAUCCUGCGAACCUCUGAGAAAUCGGGGGGUGCCUUCGGGAACGCAGAGACAGGUGGUGCAUGGCUGUCGUCAGCUCGUGUCGUGAGAUGUUGGGUUAAGUCCCGCAACGAGCGCAACCCACGUCUUUAGUUGCCAGCAUUCAGUUGGGCACUCUAGAGAGACCGCCGGUGAUAAACCGGAGGAAGGUGUGGAUGACGUCAAGUCAUCAUGCCCCUUACAUCCUGGGCUACACACGUACUACAAUGCUACGGACAAAGGGCAGCAAGCUCGCGAGAGUAAGCAAAUCCCAUAAACCGUGGCUCAGUUCAGAUCGUAGGCUGCAACUCGCCUACGUGAAGGAGGAAUCGCUAGUAAUCGCAGGUCAGCAUACUGCGGUGAAUACGUUCCCGGGCCCUGUACACACCGCCCGUCACACCAUGGAAGUUGGCCACGCUCGAAGUCGUUACUCCAACCCUUGUGGAGGAGGACGCCGAAGGUGGGGCUGAUGACUGGGGUGAAGUCGUAACAAGGUAACC
rnacentral:rRNA from 1 species